rnacentral:rRNA from 1 species
CCUACGGGAGGCAGCAGUGAGGAAUAUUGCACAAUGGGGGCAACCCCUGAUGCAGCGACGCCGCGUGGGUGAUGAAGGCUUUCGGGUCGUAAAACCCUUUUUUGUGUGACGAGUAAGGACGGUAGCACAAAGAAUAAGCGCUCGGCUAACUACGUGCAGCAGCCGCCGGUAAU